rnacentral:misc_RNA from 1 species
GAAUUUCUCUGGGCAAAAAUGAUGAGACCCAAAAUAAAUAAAUCAAGUCCAUUCCAUGAAUCAAAGAUUUAUUGAUUGUUCCAGUUCAGCAUGCUUGAAAAACAUGGCUCUGCUGCCACGUGAACAUCUUAAAAGAAAUAGGCUCACAAAGUUUAAAGAAACAUGACCAUUGUCACAGCGCAGUCAUUACAGCAGCCAUUUUCUGCACAUUAACCACAUAUAAAUAGACUCAACUCACUAAGCCUUAAUCCCGAACAAGUUGGGGUCCGCUACAUAGAUCUGUUUACUUUAUUCCACCCACUUUAGGGCUAUAUCUUCAGAAAGAUCUAGAGCCCGCUUUAAGUAAAAUAGUAAGCUAAAAUAUAAUAGAUUAUGUCAAGUCCCAAAAGUAACUUCAGCAUGCAAUAAAUAACGCCUAAAUGACUAAAAAAUCCAGCCAUAGCUCACAUUUUCGAUUGUAGCCAAAACUUUUAAUUUUUUCG